CUGGAUUCUCUGAAGAGCAAUGGCUGGAGCAUUUUUUUGGUGAGAGGAAACUUCCCAAAAGAGUUUCUUAUCUCAUCAUCUGAAGCUUCUAAUGGUUAUGGGCAGUGGCUGGCUCCCGAGGAUUAUCAAAUCAUGUAACCCGGCUUCGGGUUCUCAGAGAAUCAAUUCGACUCAACAGCAUUCAAACCCAGCUGAAGACAUGCUAACAGAAUUUGAAGAUGAAGACUUGAAAG
rnacentral:misc_RNA from 1 species